AGUGAACGCUGGCGGUAGGCCUAACACAUGCAAGUCGAACGGCAGCACAGGAGAGCUUGCUCUCUGGGUGGCGAGUGGCGGACGGGUGAGGAAUACAUCGGAAUCUACCUUUUCGUGGGGGAUAACGUAGGGAAACUUACGCUAAUACCGCAUACGACCUACGGGUGAAAGUGGGGGACCGCAAGGGCCUCACGCGAUUAGAUGAGCCGAUGUCCGAUUAGCUAGUUGGCGGGGUAAUGGCCCACCAAGGCGACGAUCGGUAGCUGGUCUGAGAGGAUGAUCAGCCACACUGGAACUGAGACACGGUCCAGACUCCUACGGGAGGCAGCAGUGGGGAAUUUUGGACAAUGGGCGCAAGCCUGAUCCAGCCAUGCCGCGUGAGUGAAGAAGGCCU
rnacentral:rRNA from 1 species